CCUACGGGAGGCAGCAGUGGGGGAUAUUGCACAAUGGGGGGAACCCUGAUGCAGCGACGCCGCGUGGGUGAAGGAGUGCUUCGGCAUGUAAAGCCCUAUCGGCAGGGAAGAAGCAAGACGGUACCUGACUAAGAAGCCCCGGCUAACUACGUGCCAGCAGCCGCGGUAAUACGUAGGGGGCGAGCGUUAUCCGGAUUCACUGGGUGUAAAGGGAGCGUAGGCGGCCAUGCAAGCUAGGGGUGAAAGCCCGGGGCCCAACCCCGGGACUGCCCUUGGAACUGCAUGGCUAGAGUGCGGGAGGGGCAGGCGGAAUUCCUGGUGGAGCGGUGAAAUGCGUAGAUAUCAGGAGGAACACCGGCGGCGAAGGCGGCCUGCUGGACUGCGACUGACGUUGAGGCUCGAAAGCGUGGGGAGCGAACAGGAUUAGAUACCCCUGUAGUC
rnacentral:rRNA from 1 species